rnacentral:rRNA from 1 species
GAUCAAACUUGAUGAUUUGGAGGAAAUAAAAGUCGUAACAAGGUUUCCGUAGGUGAACCUGCGGAAGGAUCAUUA